GUUGAUCCUUUGAUUUGAUAACCAUGAAAAGCACAGACAUCAUGAACGAGGCUAAAUUAAUAAGUAACAAGCAAACUGUCGAACAAUUGAGAAAAGAAAAUGCUGAAAUACGACUGAAGCUAAAUUGUUGCAUUUGCCAUAUCCGAUCCAAAGCAGUACUGUAUCUGAGAUGCAAGCAUUUUGUUCUUUGCGAAUCGUGUGAUAAAGGAAAAAAGACAUGUUUAACUUGCGGAGACAAAAUACAUGUUUCGUUCACGGUUGAGAUAUAGAUAUAUUUGAGACUUUUCAAGUGAAAAUAAUUCUGAUCACAUCUCCAAACAAAAGUUCUACUUUUCAAAUGCAAAUCCGAUAUAUGCAUAUUGGCAAAACAUCAUUCACACACUUUUUCCUGACAUAUAUACGUGUAAUAGUCCAAUUUACUCUUAUUCUUUAGUCAUAAUAAUGAUAUAAUAAAAUAAUAUGAAAUCUAAAACAAACGUGAAAGACAUUAUUUCUUCUAUGUGAAAAGGAAAACAAACAAUUGUAACAUAUCGGAAAAUACCUCCUUUGCUUUGGAUUAUUGUCUAAAAAGAAAACAAGUAAUAUAUAUAUACGACAAAGGAUUUUCUAUAUAUGUAUCAUUGAUAUCUAAAACUAACGUUGCAUCGAUGAUACAAGAUGUAGACUUGAUAAAAUCAUCGGUGUGGUGUCAUUGUAUUGUUGCCAACAUGUGCUUUCUGUCACACCCUAGGUGGUGACUAAAAAUCAUGAUGCGCAUUUACACAUCAUUUCUAGCGUUGGUCCAACAA